rnacentral:rRNA from 1 species
UACGAAGGGGGCUAGCGUUGUUCGGAAUUACUGGGCGUAAAGCGCACGUAGGCGGACUAUUAAGUCAGGGGUGAAAUCCCGGGGCUCAACCCCGGAACUGCCUUUGAUACUGGUAGUCUCGAGUCCGGAAGAGGUGAGUGGAAUUCCUAGUGUAGAGGUGAAAUUCGUAGAUAUUAGGAAGAACACCAGUGGCGAAGGCGGCUCACUGGUCCGGUACUGACGCUGAGGUGCGAAAGCGUGGGGAGCAAACAGG